rnacentral:rRNA from 1 species
GGCGGCCUAUACAUGCAAGUCGAGCGGACAGAAGGGAGCUUGCUCCCGGAUGUUAGCGGCGGACGGGUGAGUAACACGUGGGUAACCUGCCUGUAAGACUGGGAUAACUCCGGGAAACCGGAGCUAAUACCGGAUAGUUCCUUGAACCGCAUGGUUCAAGGAUGAAAGACGGUUUCGGCUGUCACUUACAGAUGGACCCGCGGCGCAUUAGCUAGUUGGUGAGGUAACGGCUCACCAAGGCGACGAUGCGUAGCCGACCUGAGAGGGUGAUCGGCCACACUGGGACUGAGACACGGCCCAGACUCCUACGGGAGGCAGCAGUAGGGAAUCUUCCGCAAUGGACGAAAGUCUGACGGAGCAACGCCGCGUGAGUGAUGAAGGUUUUCGGAUCGUAAAGCUCUGUUGUUAGGGAAGAACAAGUGCAAGAGUAACUGCUUGCACCUUGACGGUACCUAACCAGAAAGCCACGGCUAACUACGUGCCAGCAGCCGCGGUAAUACGUAGGUGGCAAGCGUUGUCCGGAAUUAUUGGGCGUAAAGGGCUCGCAGGCGGUUUCUUAAGUCUGAUGUGAAAGCCCCCGGCUCAACCGGGGAGGGUCAUUGGAAACUGGGAAACUUGAGUGCAGAAGAGAGA